rnacentral:rRNA from 1 species
GGACGAACGCUGGCGGCGUGCUUAACACAUGCAAGUCGAACGGAAAGGCCCUGCUUUUGUGGGGUGCUCGAGUGGCGAACGGGUGAGUAACACGUGAGUAACCUGCCCUUGACUUUGGGAUAACUUCAGGAAACUGGGGCUAAUACCGGAUAGGAGCUCCUGCUGCAUGGUGGGGGUUGGAAAGUUUCGGCGGUUGGGGAUGGACUCGCGGCUUAUCAGCUUGUUGGUGGGGUAGUGGCUUACCAAGGCUUUGACGGGUAGCCGGCCUGAGAGGGUGACCGGCCACAUUGGGACUGAGAUACGGCCCAGACUCCUACGGGAGGCAGCAGUGGGGAAUAUUGCACAAUGGGCGGAAGCCUGAUGCAGCAACGCCGCGUGCGGGAUGACGGCCUUCGGGUUGUAAACCGCUUUCGCCUGUGACGAAGCGUGAGUGACGGUAAUGGGUAAAGAAGCACCGGCUAACUACGUGCCAGCAGCCGCGGUGAUACGUAGGGUGCGAGCGUUGUCCGGAUUUAUUGGGCGUAAAGGGCUCGUAGGUGGUUGAUCGCGUCGGAAGUGUAAUCUUGGGGCUUAACCCUGAGCGUGCUUUCGAUACGGGUUGACUUGAGGAAGGUAGGGGAGAAUGGAAUUCCUGGUGGAGCGGUGGAAUGCGCAGAUAUCAGGAGGAACACCAGUGGCGAAGGCGGUUCUCUGGGCCUUUCCUGACGCUGAGGAGCGAAAGCGUGGGGAGCGAACAGGCUUAGAUACCCUGGUAGUCCACGCUGUAAACGGUGGGUACUAGGUGUGGGGUCCAUUCCACGGGUUCCGUGCCGUAGCUAACGCUUUAAGUACCCCGCCUGGGGAGUACGGCCGCAAGGCUAAAACUCAAAGGAAUUGACGGGGCCCCGCACAAGCGGCGGAGCAUGCGGAUUAAUUCGAUGCAACGCGUAGAACCUUACCUGGGUUUGACAUGGAUCGGGAGUGCUCAGAGAUGGGUGUGCCUCUUUUGGGGUCGGUUCACAGGUGGUGCAUGGCUGUCGUCAGCUCGUGUCGUGAGAUGUUGGGUUAAGUCCCGCAACGAGCGCAACCCUUGUUCACUGUUGCCAGCACGUUAUGGUGGGGACUCAGUGGAGACCGCCGGGGUCAACUCGGAGGAAGGUGGGGAUGACGUCAAGUCAUCAUGCCCCUUAUGUCCAGGGCUUCACGCAUGCUACAAUGGCUGGUACAGAGAGUGGCGAGCCUGUGAGGGUGAGCGAAUCUCGGAAAGCCGGUCUCAGUUCGGAUUGGGGUCUGCAACUCGACCUCAUGAAGUCGGAGUCGCUAGUAAUCGCAGAUCAGCAACGCUGCGGUGAAUACGUUCCCGGGGCUUGUACACACCGCCCGUCAAGUCAUGAAAGUUGGUAACACCCGAAGCCGGUGGCCUAACCGUUGUGGGGGAGCCGUCGAAGGUGGG